rnacentral:rRNA from 1 species
GGUUCUAUUUUGUUGGUUUCUAGGACCGCCGUAAUGACCAAUAGGGACGGUCGGGGGCGUCAGUAUUCAAUUGCCAGAGGUGAAAUUCUUGGAUCUAUUGAAGACUAACUACUGCGAAAGCAUUCGCCAAGGACGUUUUCGCUGAUCAGGAACGAAAGUUAGGGGAUCGAAGACGAUCAGAUACCGUCGUAGUCUUAACCAUAAACUAUGCCGAUUGGGGAUCGGACGAUGUUAUUUUUUGACUCGUUCGGCACCCUGCGAGAAAUCAAAAUUCUUGGGCUCCGGGGGGAGUAUGGUACGUUUAACCCACUAAACUGCUCUUUAAGUACGCUGUAAACUAACUAUCCUUCCAGGUGGCAACGCUGAAACUUAAAGAAAUUGACGGAAGGGCACCACCAGGUAAGUCGUCCGCCCCUAAAAAAAAAAACCUAUAGCGCCUUACUGACUAUUUCACAGGGGUGGAACCUGCGGCUUAAUUUGACUCAACACGGGGAAACUCACCAGGUCCAGACACAAUAAGGAUUGACAGAUUGAGAG